rnacentral:lncRNA from 1 species
AACCUUUUUAGCAAUUAUUUCUAGGUCAGUCUUCUAAAUUUAGAAACAGUCAUAUUAGACCGGUAAUAUAAAAGCCUAUCGCAUUAUAUGUUAUAUCAUAGCAAACUAGAUUUUGCAAAAAGACUUCUUUUUAACAUUAGUGCCCUUGAAACUUUCUCUUUUGUUCCAUCGCACUUUAGCGUGCUAUACCAUUGCACUUUAGCAAACAAACAACCAUCGCACUUUAGCGUGAGACACCAUCGUACUUUAGCGUAAACCAUCACACUUUAGCGUGACCAUCGCACUUUAGAGUACAAUCGCACUUUAGAG